rnacentral:rRNA from 1 species
UACGUAGGGUGCGAGCGUUAAUCGGAAUUACUGGGCGUAAAGCGUGCGCAGGCGGUUUUGUAAGCCAGAUGUGAAAUCCCCGGGCUCAACCUGGGAACUGCAUUUGGGACUGCAAGGCUAGAGUACGGCAGAGGGGGGUAGAAUUCCUGGUGUAGCAGUGAAGUGCGUAGAUAUCAGGAGGAAUACCGAUGGCGAAGGCAGCCCCCUGGGUCGAUACUGACGCUCAUGCACGAAAGCGUGGGGAGCAAACAGG